rnacentral:lncRNA from 1 species
AUUGAUCAUCUUUUCCUGUGCUUAUCUUGUGUAUCUUCUUUGGAGAAAUGUUUGGUCAAAUGACUUUCAAAUCCUCGUCAAAUUUUACCUAAAAAAUGUAGCUGGGAUUUUUAUGGAAACUCUUGUUUUGUCUGUAGAUUAACUUGGGGAGUACAGAAUUUUCAAGAAAUUUGUCUUCUGAUAAUGAACAUGGAUUUAUUUCUGUUUCUUUAGGUCUUUAAUUUCUCUCAGUGACGGCUUGCAGUUUAUUGUGUGCCUGUUUUGAACUUCUUUUGUUAAAUUUAUUGCAAUUAAUUUUAUUGUUUUGGUGCUAUCGUAAAUAGAAAAACAAUUCUUAAUUUCACUUUCUGAUUGCUAACUACGAGUGUUUAGACAUAAAAUUGAUUUUUGUAUUUUGAUUUUGUAUUGCUUUUAAAUACUUUUAAGUCUUUAGUCUUUAUUUGAACAAGUAUUGCCUUUGUUAGGUCUGAAUCCCAAGCCUCUGUUUGAAUUAAGACAAUAUUAUACAAAGAAUUAUGAGGGGAUUAAGAAAACAAUAAAUAAACAUUAGUUCUUUUGGUUAUGAUGCCUGCAAUACUUUGACAUAGAGUUUUCCUGUGCCAAUUUUAGAUUACCUAAGUCUAUAACACAUGUACUCUUCCAAAGAAGGAGAAACAGCUUAAAUUUCUGUGAUUUUUAUAGUAAGUUCUAAAUGUACCAAGUAAGUAAUAACAUUUAGCCAGGUCCCUUAAAGCUACUCUUACUUAGACAUGAUCACAUUUAUUUGUGUGCAUUUUUGUGAGGUCUUGUAAAUGUGUGAAUCGAUCAACAAGUAAUACAGCUUCACUUGUUCCCUGCUGUAUUCUAGGUCCUAGCCUGAGUCCUUCCUUGCUCAAUGAGGAGUCUAAAGACCUUUCACGGCUUUGGAGUUAAGAGGGUGAAAGUAGAAUGAGUAAAAGAUGACAAAUUCCUACCUUUGCUUUCCACAUUAACCACUGCUUGAAGAUAUCAACAUGUCGGCCACACUGAAUAGUUUUAUCCGCCGUGUCAAAGUCAACAUUGUAGAGUUUACCUGACUGGAAAAGAUAUUCAGCUUGCAUCUGAUUACAUGCAUCUAGAAGGCCCUAAAAAAGGAAAAACAUAUCUAACAUCCUUUUGUCUCAUAUGAAAAAUGUGGAAAACAUUCCUCCUCAGUGUUAAAGACUUCAAGAAGCUUUCCUUUGGAAGAUUAAGAAAUAAUCACUAGAAAAGGACAUGUUACCCAUCAUUGAGACAGAAAUGUUUUCUCAGUAUGUAUGUUGCUUCAGCACAUCAAAACCUAAAUUUAUGUGCAUUGAUGGGGUAUAAUUUAAAUGUUAAUUAAGCAGAACUAUUUGUACAAGAGGUAAAUAACAUUAUAUGUAUUUAUGUGUUUGCUAUAUGCUUUCCAUUUCACAUUACAUCAUUUGAUCCUCAUGGAAAACUGAUGGUGUAGGUACUAUAAUGACAACAUUUUUAUAGAUUGAAGAAACUGAGAAUAUUAACAUGUUAAGUAAUUUUCAAGAACAUAUAUCUAUACAAUGAUGAAUUUGGGAGCUGAAAAAAGGGCAGUUUGACUUGAGGUUUGUGGAAACACAACAUCCUAAGGAAGAUAACUCACACUCUGUUUCAGGCUAGGCUUGUGGAUCUAUAGGAAGGACCACAAUGUGACGGUCAGUGUUGAAGUAUUUCAGGGAAAUAGAAUAGAAAUUAUAACUCAAAAAUGAAAAUAGUUUAUGAAUCUGUAUUUUGGGUGUCCUAUUUACACAUGUAAAUAUUUUCUUCUUAGGCUCUUUUGAACCCCCUUUUUAAUCUUUUGUUAGAGCAGGCCUAGAGACUAUUGUAAACACUUUAAAACAGUAUCAUCAAGAUGAGUUUCUGCACAGCAAAAGAAACUACCAUCAGAGUCAGCAGGCAACCUACAGAAUGGGAGAAAAUUUUUGCAAUCUACUCAACUGACAAAGGGCUAAUAUCCAGAAUCUACAAUGAACUCAAACAAAUUUACAAGAAAAAAAACAAACAACCCCAUCAAAAAGUGGGCGAAGGAUAUGAACAAACACUUCUCAAAAGAAGACAUGUAUGCAGCCAAAAGACACAUGAAAAAAUGCUCAUCAUCACAGGUCAUCAGAGAAAUGCAAAUCAAAACCACAAUGAGAUACCAUCUCACACCAGUUAGAAUGGCGAUCAUUAAAAAGUCAAGAAACAACCGGUGCUGGAGAGGAUGUGGAGAAAUAGGAACAUUUUUACACUGUUGGUGGGACUGUAAACUAGUUCAAUCAUUGUGGAAGUCAGUGUGGCGAUUCCUCAGGGAUCUAGAACUAGAAAUACCAU